rnacentral:rRNA from 1 species
AGAGUUUGAUCCUGGCUCAGGAUGAACGCUAGCUACAGGCUUAACACAUGCAAGUCGAGGGGAAACGGACAUCGAAAGCUUGCUUUUGAUGGGCGUCGACCGGCGCACGGGUGAGUAACGCGUAUCCAACCUGCCCAUCACUUGGGGAUAACCUUGCGAAAGUAAGACUAAUACCCAAUGAUAUCUCUAGAAGGCAUCUGAAAGAGAUUAAAGAUUUAUCGGUGAUGGAUGGGGAUGCGUCUGAUUAGCUUGGUUGGCGGGGUAACGGCCCACCAAAGCAACGAUCAGUAGGGGUUCUGAGAGGAAGGUCCCCACAUUGGAACUGAGACACGGUCCAAACUCCUACGGAGGCA